rnacentral:rRNA from 1 species
ACUCCUACGGGAGGCAGCAGUAGGGAAUCUUCCACAAUGGGCGCAAGCCUGAUGGAGCAACACCGCGUGAGUGAAGAGGGGUUUCGGCUCGUAAAGCUCUGUUGUUAAAGAAGAACACGUAUGAGAGUAACUGUUCAUACGUUGACGGUAUUUAACCAGAAAGUCACGGCUAACUACGUGCCAGCAGCCGCGGUAAUACGUAGGUGGCAAGCGUUAUCCGGAUUUAUUGGGCGUAAAGAGAGUGCAGGCGGUUUUCUAAGUCUGAUGUGAAAGCCUUCGGCUUAACCGGAGAAGUGCAUCGGAAACUGGAUAACUUGAGUGCAGAAGAGGGUAGUGGAACUCCAUGUGUAGCGGUGGAAUGCGUAGAUAUAUGGAAGAACACCAGUGGCGAAGGCGGCUACCUGGUCUGCAACUGACGCUGAGACUCGAAAGCAU